rnacentral:lncRNA from 1 species
UUGUGCUGGAUGCCUUCACCUCUAGACCCAGUUAGCUCUUCAGUAAUAUGAGAAUCAAAGAAAAAAAUCAGAAAAUUACAGAGUCUGAGAGGAGGCAGAGAACCAGAACACAUCAACAAGAGGUAUUAAGUUAAUCUACAUAAUAAAGGGAUGGGCUAAUUGGAAAGUAGGAAGCCU